ensembl:lncRNA
CUGAACUCUUGAUGUCUUGCUUUUGAAAAAAUACCAGGUCCUGGGACCACAACAUGGAGGGACACAGAGCCUUGUCUUUCAGAGCUUGCGGAUCAUCAGGGAAGACAUGACACCAACUGUAUGAUCCCUGUGAUGGCAGAAGCUCAGGUUUCUGGCUUUAAAAAAAAAAAAAGGUUUCCUGGAGAAGGUGGAGAAGAGACUGCAGAAUGAGAGCCAGGACAGCAUGCAGUGUGGACAAUCACGAUAUACAACUAUAAGCUCUGGUUUGAGUAUUUGGAGGAAAGUGGACAUCUCAAAAGGAAGGAAGAUUGACUAGGCUGGCAUCUAAUGAAAGGGCCAGGUGGCAAGCUCCUGACAUGCAACUCUUUCCUUCUGGAAUUCUUUGGUCCCAAGCCACAGCGGAUGACCCACCAAGAGACCUGUACCUGUCAGAUUGCAGGCACUAUUGUGGAUGAGCCCAUCUUUCCAGAUUGGCUGCAGCCGGGAGUGCUGCUCAGAGAGGAAUGGACAGCGGCUGCCCAGAACAGAUGCUACAUUGGAAAGCAGCCUCUCUUAUUGCCUAAAGUUGCCAGAGCUCCACUGGGCACCAGAGUUGAGCCACAGCAAACACAAGCUAGGGGCUGUGAACCCCUUAUAGGUAACCAGAUGUGCAGGGAAUGGCAGAUCAAAGGCUGCUCUCCAGAUGUCCCCUGCUGAGGGUGAGCAGCUGGUGCAGAAGUGUCCCCUUUGGCAACUUCUGGGACUCUGUGCCACUGCUGGCUCAGGAGGUGGCUGGCAGGAAAGGCUCCAGAAGAGACAUUAAAGGGAAAUUUGGGCCUCAGUGUGAUGCUAAGCUGACAGCUCUAUGAACUACCUAACAUUUUAUCAAUGCUGUUUGUAAUAUGACGGAAGAUGAUGGUUAUUCUACUAUGAUGCACCUCAGCAUAUGUCCCCCAUGUGUGGCUUCUGGCCAGUGCCAGGACAGGAGUCAGUUUGUUACCAUAGCUUCCCAACCAGGAUGUAAAAUCUCCCAUACCCCAUAUCCUCCACUCCUAUUUGGAACGGGAAUGUGGGCUUUGGCUUUGCUCCAGUUUCUUGAUCCUUCCUUCCAAGUUCUCACCCUCUAACACAACUUGAAACUCAAAAUUAGUGGGCAGCAGAACUGGGCUGCUGAAUCCAAAGACAGUUAAAAGUGUGUUUGAGUGUGUGUGUGUGUGUUUGUAUCUAUGAAGAUGUGUGUACUAGAUUCAUCUAUAUAUAAUUAAUGUAUUAACAAUACAAAUAGUCUCAUGGACAUGUACAUAUGCAACAUGCGUUCCUGCUAUUGUUCUUUUAGUCCCCAUCUAACUUCUCCCUUCUCUAUUCCCCCUGCUUCCAUCUCCCUUAUCCCCUUCUCCCUGUCUGAAUGGUGUCUGGUAUAAGUGGAGGAGGCCAAAAGGAAUGACAGAGGUCUUGAAGCUGCCCAAGGUGACAGUUACUUGGAGCAGAUAGCAUCUGUACAUUAUGAAGUAGAGUGUUGCCAUCCUCAUCAUUACCAUCACCUAGACCCAUGUCUCCCCAGUGCCACUUGGAAGGAUGCAGGAGGCUUGCUAUCUCCAUGGUGAUAAGGAAGCCUUCAGGAAGCUGGUCUGCCUUCUCUUUCUGAACUCUCUCUAACUGAAUUAUCUUAUGUCAUUAUAAUGCUUUCCUAACAAUAAACUUG